CCUAACACAUGCAAGUCGAGCGGUAACAGAGAGUAGCUUGCUUCUUUGCUGACGAGCGGCGGACGGGUGAGUAAUGCUUGGGAACAUGCCUUGAGGUGGGGGACAACAGUUGGAAACGACUGCUAAUACCGCAUAAUGUCUACGGACCAAAGGGGGCUUCGGCUCUCGCCUUUAGAUUGGCCCAAGUGGGAUUAGCUAGUUGGUGAGGUAAUGGCUCACCAAGGCGACGAUCCCUAGCUGGUUUGAGAGGAUGAUCAGCCACACUGGGACUGAGACACGGCCCAGACUMMUACGGGAGGCAGCAGUGGGGAAUAUUGCACAAUGGGCGCAAGCCUGAUGCAGCCAUGCCGCGUGUGUGAAGAAGGCCUUCGGGUUGUAAAGCACUUUCAGUCAGGAGGAAAGGUUAGUAGUUAAUACCUGCUAGCUGUGACGUUACUGACAGAAGAAGCACCGGCUAACUCCGUGCCAGCAGCCGCGGUAAUACGGAGGGUGCGAGCGUUAAUCGGAAUUACUGGGCGUAAAGCGUACGCAGGCGGUUUGUUAAGCGAGAUGUGAAAGCCCCGGGCUCAACCUGGGAACUGCAUUUCGAACUGGCAAACUAGAGUGUGAUAGAGGGUGGUAGAAUUUCAGGUGUAGCGGUGAAAUGCGUAGAGAUCUGAAGGAAUACCGAUGGCGAAGGCAGCCACCUGGGUCAACACUGACGCUCAUGUACGAAAGCGUGGGGAGCAAACGGGAUUAGAUACCCCGGUAGUCCACGCCGUAAACGAUGUCUACUAGAAGCUCGGAGCCUCGGUUCUGUUUUUCAAAGCUAACGCAUUAAGUAGACCGCCUGGGGAGUACGGCCGCAAGGUUAAAACUCAAAUGAAUUGACGGGGGCCCGCACAAGCGGUGGAGCAUGUGGUUUAAUUCGAUGCAACGCGAAGAACCUUACCUACACUUGACAUACAGAGAACUUACCAGAGAUGGUUUGGUGCCUUCGGGARCUCUGAUACAGGUGCUGCAUGGCUGUCGUCAGCUCGUGUUGUGAGAUGUUGGGUUAAGUCCCGCAACGAGCGCAACCCCUAUCCUUAGUUGCUAGCAGGUAAUGCUGAGAACUCUAAGGAGACUGCCGGUGAUAAACCGGAGGAAGGUGGGGACGACGUCAAGUCAUCAUGGCCCUUACGUGUAGGGCUACACACGUGCUACAAUGGCGCAUACAGAGUGCUGCGAACCUGCGAAGGUAAGCGAAUCACUUAAAGUGCGUCGUAGUCCGGAUUGGAGUCUGCAACUCGACUCCAUGAAGUCGGAAUCGCUAGUAAUCGCGUAUCAGAAUGACGCGGUGAAUACGUUCCCGGGCCUUGUACACACCGCCCGUCACACCAUGGGAGUGGGUUGCUCCAGAAGUAGAUAGUCUAACCCUCGGGAGGACGUU
rnacentral:rRNA from 1 species